GUCUGCGAAAGGUAAACAGACUCCGGAGCCGCCUUUGGGCAAUUUUUUGUAACGGAAGUGGAGAGACCGACACGGAGGCGGCGGUUGUGGUCCGCGGCCAGACCCAAGGUCCCUCGGAGCGUGUCCACACGUCUUCGCCAGCAGAGACCCACCGGCGAGCUGUCCGGUCCGCGCCUCCGCGCCCAACGGCCAGCCCGGGAGCCCCCAGCUCGCGGCCUCCGACGCGCACCUCCGGAGAACAGUGAAAAUAUCACUUCAGAUGGAAUCUUAACGGAAAGCCAGAAAUGAAUGGAAACUGAAUAAUAGCAGAGCUGCUUUGGUGCUCUUUCAACUUUUAAGUAUGAGAAAAAUGAAGGAACUGGAGACUUCUGUUUCUACUCAGUAGCUGUAAUAAGAAAUCUGCAUAUUGGACUUGCAUCUUGAGAAGUUUCAGUGAAAACCCUUUAACUGAUGGUAAUUUGUGAGUUGGAAAAAAAAAAAACUUUGUUCAUCUGACAAGAACAUUUGAUAAACGGUUGGCAGGGAAAUGAGCUACCUAAUUCCCGGGAGAGUGACUGAUUUAGGACUCCAGUGCUGUGCUCUGAAUCCACCAGCACCCAGUUCAUGUGCAUAUUUCCAAAGGCUGCUUGCUCCCAGGCAAUGACUGAGCACAGCAGAAGACUAUGACAGACCUGUUCCUGAAGGGUGACUUUGGCUGAAGGACUCCGUGAUGACCUUGAUGAAGUGUCUUAGAACUGCCCUGGAAAAGGAGGAGAAGAAACUAAUGAAGGAAGAGAUUAAGAAGUAGCCCCCAAGGUCACUGAGGUAAGCAGAGGAAAAUUUG